rnacentral:rRNA from 1 species
UUGUGCCUACGGGGGGCAGCAGUGAGGAAUAUUGGUCAAUGGCCGGAAGGCUGAACCAGCCAAGUCGCGUGAGGGAAUAAGGCCCUAUGGGUCGUAAACCUCUUUUGUCAGGGAGCAAAGGCGUCCACGUGUGGACGAGAGGAGAGUACCUGAAGAAAAAGCAUCGGCUAACUCCGUGCCAGCAGCCGCGGUAAUACGGAGGAUGCGAGCGUUAUCCGGAUUUAUUGGGUUUAAAGGGUGCGUAGGCGGGCUUUUAAGUCAGCGGUAAAGAUUCGGGGCUCAACCCCGUCCGGCCGUUGAAACUG